rnacentral:rRNA from 1 species
AACGAACGCUGGCGGCAUGCCUAACACAUGCAAGUCGAACGAGACCUUCGGGUCUAGUGGCGCACGGGUGCGUAACGCGUGGGAACCUGCCCUUAGGUUCGGAAUAACUCCCCGAAAGGGGUGCUAAUACCGGAUAAUGUCUUCGGACCAAAGAUUUAUCGCCUUUGGAUGGGCCCGCGUUGGAUUAGCUAGUUGGUAGGGUAAAAGCCUACCAAGGCGACGAUCCAUAGCUGGUCUGAUAGGAUGAUCAGCCCCACUGGGACUGAGACACGGCCCAGACUCCUACGGGGAGCAGCAGUGGGGAAUAUUGGACAAUGGGCGAAAGCCUGAUCCGGCAAUGCCGCGUGAGUGAUGAAGGCCUUAGGGUUGUAAAGCUCUUUUACCCGGGAUGAUAAUGACAGUACCGGGAGAAUAAGCUCCGGCUAACUCCGUG